UGCUGCUUAGGAAAGUCCCGAAAAUACCAGGGGGAGGAGGAGCCGGAGGGGGCGGGCCUGGAAAUGACGCCGGGGCCCCGCCCCCGCGGUUCCUGGUUCCCCGGCAGCCGCUGCAGCCCCCGGGGCUCAGUCGGGGCCUAGCCUGCCUCGCCCCCUCUCCGCAGCCUGGAGCAAACGGGAUUUUCAGCCAGCGUGGAGGGUACGGCUGAUUCACCCAGGGGCUUUUGUGGGGACAUUCCUGCCGUCGGAGGCCCACCUUUCCGAAUGGCCCGUAGGCGGGGGCUCUUCCAGGGGGGCCUCCGGGGUUUCUGCCCAGAGAUUGUGAUUCGGGCCGCGGGGUGGGGUGGGGAGGAAGGAGUUUCCCCCUCCACGGUCUCUAGCCAUGCCGUCUUAGCUUCCCGGAUUCUCCGGUCGCACCUGCUCCGAGUGGCCGCACCCCGCCCUCCCUGGCGACCCCAGUCCCAAAGCCAGGGCAACGCGCGCGCGUGCCCGCUGCAAGGAUCUGCGUCUCAGCCCUAAAGUCUGUGUGCCGGGAGAGUGGUGGCAACGUGGCAGGUGCAAGCGAGCGUUCGUCCACCCAGGGGUCUGGACCCGGCCACUCACCGUGGUGGCGGCUCUGGUUCCGACUUCUUUCCGAGCCCUUCCCCGGACCGCUCGCUGCUCCUCUCCAGCCAAAGGGCUCCAGCCGGGAAAGCCCCUUUCGGCCCCCCGAGGGGGGGAAUUCCCGUGACGAUCCCGUGCGUCACUCCCCAUGCCCCUCCUUAUUGGUUGAAAGUUUAACUUCAGGACUCUUGUAGCCAACCCUGAGCGACGCAGGCGCGCCCCUUUCGGGGAAGGCUCGCCCGGGUCUGGCCGCGGGGUGUCACCCAGCGCCAGUUCUGCUCGGGACCGGCGAGGCCGGACGGCGGACCCAGCGCACCCAGCGCAGGGCGCGGCUCGGAUCCUUGCACCCUUCCUGGCUUGCCGGGGACCGCUACGGAGUCCAGCGGGCCACUUGGCUGUCGCUAUGCCCGGAGCGUGGCUACUUCUGAAACAAGGGACACCGGGUCCGCGCCUACACUCCAGUCACCCUCCCAGAGAGGGACCUCGUAGCAGGGAAGUAAGGGGAAGAGGAAGGAGCCGUUCUUGCGGUCAUCUCCAGAUCGCCAUCUAGCGGCCUUUCUGGAGCCGCAAGGAAACUCUGGGGUCAACUGUCUUAGUUUCCAGGCUUCAGGAAGAGAGUCCUGAUGUUGAUUCUGUGAGUGGCGGGUUCACAAGGGCCAAAGCUUUCAGGAGGACCCAUUGGAGUCAUGGGAUGACCAGUACACUGGUGGAAGAAAAGAAGGAAGAGAAGAUGCAUGGCUGAGAGUCUUAGGCCUUGUUCAUCCACCACAGAUGUCUCAACUAUUUGAGUCGAAAGGCGUCCAACCGGGUGUAGCGAAAUGCACCUGCAGUCCCCAGCUUACUUGAAGCUGAGACAGACAGAUCCCAAAUCUCACAUCACCCCGUCUCAACACACAGGCACACAAAGGUGGCCAGAGCUAUUUCAGACUUCCUCCUCUGUGGAAAAUUGCCAGUGGUGUGCUUCGCAUGGGUGAGGGCCCACUGUUUCCAUCAUAAAGGGGGUGGAUGACUGGGGAGACAAGGCAACAUGGAAGCACUCCUGCUCUUCCACAGGAUGAAGUUUUCUGUUCCAAGUGUCUGAAACUGCAACACUGGGAUCCCCUGGCCCUCUCCUCGCUUCUGGGAAACUGAAUUCAGGUGCACACUGUUCAAUUCUUGACCACCCACUCCCAACCCCCAAGCCCAUGUGAUUACAAAUAAGAAAUAAAAUCUUUUUA